CCUACGGGUGGCAGCAGUGGGGAAUAUUGGACAAUGGGGGCAACCCUGAUCCAGCCAUGCCGCGUGUGUGAAGAAGGCCCCCGGAUUGUAAAGCACUUUCAGUGAGGAAGAACGCCUGGUGGUUAAUACCCAUCAGGAAAGACAUCACUCACAGAAGAAGCACCGGCUAACUCCGUGCCAGCAGCCGCGGUAAUACGGAGGGUGCGAGCGUUAAUCGGAAUUACUGGGCGUAAAGCGCGCGUAGGUGGCUUGAUAAGCCGGUUGUGAAAGCCCCGGGCUCAACCUGGGAACGGCAUCCGGAACUGUCAAGCUAGAGUGCAGGAGAGGAAGGUAGAAUUCCCGGUGUAGCGGUGAAAUGCGUAGAGAUCGGGAGGAAUACCAGUGGCGAAGGCGGCCUUCUGGACUGACACUGACACUGAGGUGCGAAAGCGUGGGUAGCAAACAGGAUUAGAUACCCUAGUAGUC
rnacentral:rRNA from 1 species